UACGUAGGAUGCAAGCGUUAUCCGGAAUUAUUGGGCGUAAAGCGUCCGUAGGUGGCAAUUCAAGUCUGCCGUUAAAACCAGUGGCUUAACCACUGAAUAGCGGUGGAAACUGAAUAGCUAGAGUGUGGUAGGGGUAGAGGGAAUUCCCAGUGUAGCGGUGAAAUGCGUAGAUAUCAGGAGGAACACCAGCGGCGAAGGCGCUGCUCUGGGCCGGUACUGACGCUGAGGAGCGAAAGCGUGGGGAGCGAACAGG
rnacentral:rRNA from 1 species